UACGUAGGGUGCGAGCGUUAAUCGGAAUUACUGGGCGUAAAGCGCGCGUAGGCGGCUUUGUAAGUUAGAGGUGAAAGCCCGGGGCUCAACCCCGGAACUGCCUUUAAAACUGCAUCGCUUGAAUCCGGGAGAGGUGAGUGGAAUUCCGAGUGUAGAGGUGAAAUUCGUAGAUAUUCGGAAGAACACCAGUGGCGAAGGCGGCUCACUGGACCGGUAUUGACGCUGAGGUGCGAAAGCGUGGGGAGGCAAACAGG
rnacentral:rRNA from 1 species